rnacentral:rRNA from 1 species
CACAGAGGAGCUUGCUCCUUGGGUGACGAGUGGCGGACGGGUGAGUAAUGUCUGGGAAACUGCCCGAUGGAGGGGGAUAACUACUGGAAACGGUAGCUAAUACCGCAUAACGUCGCAAGACCAAAGAGGGGGACCUUCGGGCCUCUUGCCAUCGGAUGUGCCCAGAUGGGAUUAGCUUGUUGGUGGGGUAACGGCUCACCAAGGCGACGAUCCCUAGCUGGUCUGAGAGGAUGACCAGCCACACUGGAACUGAGACACGGUCCAGACUCCUACGGGAGGCAGCAGUGGGGAAUAUUGCACAAUGGGCGCAAGCCUGAUGCAGCCAUGCCGCGUGUAUGAAGAAGGCCUUCGGGUUGUAAAGUACUUUCAGCGGGGAGGAAGGGAGUAAAGUUAAUACCUUUGCUCAUUGACGUUACCCGCAGAAGAAGCACCGGCUAACUCCGUGCCAGCAGCCGCGGUAAUACGGAGGGUGCAAGCGUUAAUCGGAAUUACUGGGCGUAAAGCGCACGCAGGCGGUUUGUUAAGUCAGAUGUGAAAUCCCCGGGCUCAACCUGGGAACUGCAUCUGAUACUGGCAAGCUUGAGUCUCGUAGAGGGGGGUAGAAUUCCAGGUGUAGCGGUGA